GAUGAACGCUGGCGGCGUGCCUAAUACAUGCAAGUCGAGCGAACAGACGAGGAGCUUGCUCCUUUGACGUUAGCGGCGGACGGGUGAGUAACACGUGGGUAACCUACCUAUAAGACUGGGAUAACUUCGGGAAACCGGAGCUAAUGCCGGAUAAUAUUUCGAACCGCAUGGUUCGAUAGUGAAAGAUGGCUUUGCUAUCACUUAUAGAUGGACCUGCGCCGUAUUAGCUAGUUGGUAAGGUAACGGCCUACCAAGGCAACGAUACGUAGCCGACCUGAGAGGGUGAUCGGCCACACUGGAACUGAGACACGGUCCAGACUCCUACGGGAGGCAGCAGUAGGGAAUCUUCCGCAAUGGGCGAAAGCCUGACGGAGCAACGCCGCGUGAGUGAUGAAGGUCUUCGGAUCGUAAAACUCUGUUAUUAGGGAAGAACAAACGUGUAAGUAACUGUGCACGUCUUGACGGUACCUAAUCAGAAAGCCACGGCUAACUACGUG
rnacentral:rRNA from 1 species